UGAUGUCAUUUUAAGUUU
rnacentral:miRNA from 1 species